rnacentral:rRNA from 1 species
UUAGUUGCCAGCGAGUAAUGUCGGGGACUCUAAAGAAACUGCCUACGCAAGUAGAGAGGAAGGCGGGGACGACGUCAAGUCAUCACGGCCCUUACGUCCUGGGCUACACACGUGCUACAAUGGGAGGUACAGAGGGUCGCGAGCUAGCAAUAGUGAGCCAAUCUCAAAAAGCCUCUCUCAGUUCGGAUUGAGGUCUGCAACUCGACCUCAUGAAGUUGGAAUCGCUAGUAAUCGCGUAUCAGCAAUGACGCGGUGAAUACGUUCCCGGGCCUUGUACACACCGCCCGUCAAGCCAUGGAAGCCGG